rnacentral:rRNA from 1 species
GAAUCUUGGACAAUGGGCGCAAGCCUGAUCCAGCCAUGCCGCGUGGAUGAUGAAGGCCUUAGGGUUGUAAAGCACUUUCAGGAGUGAAGAAAGGCGUUGGGUGAAUAAUCUGACGUGUUGACGUUAGCUCCAGAAGGAGCACCGGCUAACUCCGUGCCAGCAGCCGCGGUAAUACGGAGGGUGCGAACGUUAAUCGGAAUUACUGGGCGUAAAGCGCGCGUAGGCGGUUCGUUAAGUGGGAUGUGAAAGCCCUGGGCUCAACCUAGGAAUUGCAUUUCAAACUGGCGGACUUGAGUGCAGUAGAGGGAGGUGGAAUUCCAGGUGUAGCGGUGAAAUGCGUAGAUAUCUGGAGGAACAUCGGUGGCGAAGGCGGCCUCCUGGACUGACACUGACGCUGAGGCGCGAAAGCGUGGGGAGCAAACAGG